UGGCACCCUACAGCUCACUGGUUUGCCAUCUUAGUCUGCUGUUCCAUGGUCUAGCCUCGGGUCAAACAUAUGAUACAAGGAUGAAGAGGAAACUUUAAAACUUUCAAAGUAUAAGAACCAGAGAAGUAUCUCCAACCCUCACAGGUUGCCAUGUAUCUCAGAUAUAUCUCUCUGGAUAUUAAAAGGCUGAGAAGAAAUAACUUAUACACCAUAUUCCCCUUGUUAAUCUGAGAUGUUAUAAGGAUGAGGAGAAAAACAGAGGGAAUAGAGGAGAAUGAAUUAUGAGGUAUGCUGGCUCCAGGCUAUUUGUCUCGUGGGAGGAUGAAUUCUUGGACCACCGCCAACAAUAGUUCCAACCCCUUGGAAUUCUAGAAUGGUGUCAUUAUCUACUUGAUUGUCCAGUCAUGAAAGAACAACCUUCAGUCCUGUACUUGCAUGAAAAAGUUUUACAGCAUGGAUUAGCUUCAUUUUUUUUAAAUGAAUGCCGAUGAACGUGACUUUUAUUGCCUGUCUUUUACAGCAUCCUUUAAAACCACUUGCAACAGUUUGGCUGUAGGGAACAUUGCUUUUCAAUAAACUCGAGUCGUUGUUAGCUCUUACAGCACCGCAGUCAAUAAGGACACGUUACUGCAACAGUCCUGGCAAGCAGCAGAGUAGUUCUGACUUCAGUGUGGAAGACAACCUGUGACAGGUUUCCAAUAGCACAUUCCUCACUUCUACCUGGACCUCAUCAGAAUGGCCUUACCAACCAAACAUCUACCACCAUUCUGUUCACAGAAAAUAUGCCCUGAGUGAUCUCUGAGAAGACUGAGGCUCUGUGGUCCUCUUUGCCUCUGGGCCAUUACGAGCAAGCUCUUCGAGGACUGCUAUGGCGGAGCUCAGCAGGUAAUCAGACAAUAACUACAAGGCACUGCUUCUCAAACUUUAUUGGGCACACACUUCAUGGGGUGAGAAUGGAAGUUGUGAAAAUACACAUUCUGAUUUAGCAGGCCUGGAGCUGGGGCAGGAUUCUGCAUUUCUCCCAAGAUUUCAGGUGCUACAGAUGCAGAUUGCUGGACUACACUUUUGAGUAGCAAAGUCCUACAGCUUCUUCCAAAAAUGAAAUUUUCAUAAUCCUCUGUGAACAAGGUAUCUGUGAAAUGAACAUGAUAGCUUACUACUCUUAGUCACUUAGCAGGAAACAUGAAUCUCAGGAUAUACAAAGUUUGAAUCCACUAAGUCAGAGGAAUUCCAUGUGAUUUAGAAAUUCAGUCAGCUUGCCAAGAGCAAAAUGAAGAACAUAAUUCAGAUGCGGAUGGAAACUUCUGAAGUCCAGAAGCCUUUGCUCUGACAUGCACUCUGAAUAGGGCUGUCCCCAUGCCAAGAUUGUACUAAAAGGUGAGCACGCCCAACCUGGAGAAAACAUGUGUCUCCAAGAAACCCUUGAACUCUUCCUCAAGAGGAGCCAGGCAACUCUGGAAGACCCAGUUAAUAACUUGGGCAUAUUACUUGAAAAGAAUAUUUAGGCCCCAUAAACACAUUAGACAUUAACUGGAAAAUAAACCAUAAAAGUAGUAAAACAAAGUGAAGAACUCCAUAACCAUCAGGGACAAAAAGGAAUUCAGAAAGUGAACAAUUUACACAAAGGUUAUUACACUAGCUAAGAGUCUCCUUGUUUCUAGAAUCUUUUUAUCCCUGAUUUGUGUUUUCUCCAUAGUCCAGGCAAUCUUCUCCAAACAGAACUUUUUACAACCCUGUUGUAAAAUCAUCUAAAACUCACUGUAAAAAUACAAAUACUGACUCUUUUUAGUGCACCAACCUGUGAGUAUUUACAAAGGCUUACCCAUAUAUUUACUAGAACCACAACCAGGAUAAUGGGCAGUUCCAUGAUCUCCAAAAUUCUCCCCUGUCCCCUUGUAGCCAUGGCUAUCUUUCUCCCCUCCCCCUAACCUGACACUGUUCCUGUUUUGAAUGGAAUCUCUGGUGUGUCUUUUCAGUCCACCGUCCACCACCCCUCCCUCAUGCAAUGCUUCUGAGAUGCAUCAGUUUUGUAGUGUUGUGGCUUCAUCAGGAGUUUGUUCCUUAUCAAAACUGCACCCCCACAUCUGUGUUUUCAUGGAU